GAGUUUGAUCAUGGCUCAGGAUGAACGCUGGCGGCGUGCCUAAUACAUGCAAGUCGAGCGGUAAGGCUCCUUCGGGAGUACACGAGCGGCGGACGGCUGAGUAACACGUAGGAACGUACCCCAAACUGAGGGAUAACUGCUCGAAAGAGUAGCUAAUACCGCAUGUGCACUUCGGUGUAAAGCUACGGCGGUUUGGGAACGGCCUGCGUCCGAUUAGCUUGUUGGUGAGGUAAUGGCUUACCAAGGCGACGAUCGGUAGCUGGUCUGAGAGGAUGAUCAGCCAGACUGGGACUGAGAACGGCCCAGACUCCUACGGGAGGCAGCAGUAGGGAAUUUUCCACAAUGGGGGCAACCCUGAUGGAGCAACGCCGCGUGCAGGAUGAAUGCUUCGGAUUGUAAACUGCUUUUAUCUGUGACGAAUAUGACGGUAGCAGAUGAAUAAG
rnacentral:rRNA from 1 species